rnacentral:rRNA from 1 species
UAGGGGUUUGAUUCUGGCUUCAGGAUUGAACGCUGGCGGUAUGCUUAACACAUGCAAAGUCGGAACGGAAACGGAAACUAGCUUGCUAGUAGGCGUCGAGUGGCGGACGGGUGAGUAACGCGUAGGAAUCUGCCUGAUAGUGAAGAUAGCCCGAAGAAAUUCGGAUUAAUACCGCAUAAUCUAUUCGUAGUAAAGUGGGGGACUUUCGAGCCUCACGCUAUCAGGUGAGCCUGCGUAAGAUUAGCUUGUUGGUAGGGUAAAAGCCUACCAAGGCAACGAUCUUUAGCUGGUCUGAGAGGAUGAUCAGCCACAUCGGGACUGAGACACGGCCCGAACUCCUACGAGAGGCAGCGGUGGGGAAUAUUGGACGAUGGAAGCAACCCUGAUCCAGCAAUACCGCGUGUGUGAAGAAGGCCUGAGGGUUGUAAAGCACUUUCAAUUGUGAAGAAAAGUUAACGGUUAAUAACCGUUAACCUUGACGUUAACUUUAAAGAAGCUCCGGCUAACUCCGUGCCAGCCGCCGCGGUAAUACA